GACGAACGCUGGCGGCGUGCUUAACACAUGCCAGUCGAACGGAAAGGCCCUGCUUUUGUGGUGUGCUCGAGUGGCGAACGGGUGAGUAACACGUGAGUAACCUGCCCUUGACUUUGGGAUAACUUCAGGAAACUGGGGCUAAUACCGGAUAGGAGCUCCUGCUGCAUGGUGGGGGUUGGAAAGUUUCGGCGGUUGGGGAUGGACUCGCGGCUUAUCAGCUUGUUGGUGGGGUAGUGGCUUACCCAGGCUUUGACGGGUAGCCGGCCUGAGAGGGUGACCGGCCACAUUGGGAAUGAGAUACGGCCCAGGCUGCUACGGGGGGCAGGAGUGGGGAAUAUUGCACAAUGGGCGGAAGCGGGAUGCAGAAACGCCGGGUGCGGGAUGACGGCUGUCGGGUUGUAAACCGAUUUGGCCUGUGACGAAGCGUGAGUGAGGGUAAUGGGUAAAGAAGCACCGGCUAACUACGU
rnacentral:rRNA from 1 species